CACCAGACUCCUACGGGAGGCAGCAGUGAGGAAUAUUGGUCAAUGGCCGGAAGGCUGAACCAGCCAAGUCGCGUGAGGGAAUAAGGCCCUAUGGGUCGUAAACCUCUUUUGUCGGGGAACAAAGGCGCCCACGGGUGGGCGGAUGAGUGUACCCGAAGAAAAAGCAUCGGCUAACUCCGUGCCAGCAGCCGCGGUAAUACGGAGGAUGCGAGCGUUAUCCGGAUUUAUUGGGUUUAAAGGGUGCGUAGGCGGACAGUCAAGUCAGCGGUAAAAAUGCGGUGCUCAACGCCGUACAGCCGUUGAAACUGGCAGUCUUGAGUGGGCGAGAAGUAUGCGGAAUGCGUGGUGUAGCGGUGAAAUGCAUAGAUAUCACGCAGAACUCCGAUUGCGAAGGCAGCAUGCCGGCUCCACACUGACGCUGAGGCACGAAAGCGUGGGUAUCGAACAGGAUUAGAUACCCCUGUAC
rnacentral:rRNA from 1 species